rnacentral:rRNA from 1 species
ACGAACGCUGGCGGCGUGCUUAACCCAUGCAAGUCGCACGGGCCCGCUCUCUUUUUUGGGGGUGGGUUGAGUGGCGAACGGGUGAGUAUCACGUGAGUAACCUGCCCCCUGCUCCUGGAUAACUGCUUGAAAGGGCGGCUAAUACGGGGUGUGCCGGCUGGUCCGCAUGGGCCUGGUCGGGAUAGUUUCAUCUUCGGGUGUUUCGGUGGGGGAUGGGCUCGCGGCCUAUCAGCUUGUUGGUGGGGUGAUGGCCCACCAAGGCGGUGACGGGUAGCCGGCCUGAGAGGGUGGGCGGCCACACUGGGACUGAGACACGGCCCAGACUCCUGCGGGAGGCAGCAGUGGGGGGUAUUGCACAAUGGGCGGAAGCCUGAUGCAGCGACGUCGCGUGAGGGAUGGAGGCCUUCGGGUUGUGAACCUCUUUCUCCGGUGGUGAAGGCCCUGUCCGUUGCGGCGGGGUUGACGGUAGCCGGGUAUGAAGCGCCGGCUAACUACGUG